GCAACGCCGCGUGAGGGAUGACGGCCUUCGGGUUGUAAACCUCUUUCAGCAGGGACGAAGCGAGAGUGACGGUACCUGCAGAAGAAGGACCGGCCAACUACGUGCCAGCAGCCGCGGUAAUACGUAGGGUCCGAGCGUUGUCCGGAAUUAUUGGGCGUAAAGGGCUCGUAGGCGGUUUGUCGCGUCGGGAGUGAAAACUCAGGGCUCAACCCUGAGCGUGCUUCCGAUACGGGCAGACUAGAGGUAUUCAGGGGAGAACGGAAUUCCUGGUGUAGCGGUGGAAUGCGCAGAUAUCAGGAGGAACACCGGUGGCGAAGGCGGUUCUCUGGGAAUUACCUGACGCUGAGGAGCGAAAGCAUGGGGAGCGAACAGGAUUAGAUACCCUGGUAGUCCAUGCCGUAAACGUUGGGCGCUAGGUGUGGGGACCUUCCACGGUUUCCGUGCCGCAGCUAACGCAUUAAGCGCCCCGCCUGGGGAGUACGGCCGCAAGGCUAAAACUCAAAGGAAUUGACGGGGGCCCGCACAAGCGGCGGAGCAUGCUGAUUAAUUCGAUGCAACGCGAAGAACCUUACCUGGGUUUGACAUAUGCCGGAAAGCUGCAGAGAUGUGGCCUCCUUUUGGUCG
rnacentral:rRNA from 1 species